GAGUGAAACUAUAGUUGGCCCUCUACAUUUGCAGGUUUAACUUGUAUAGAUUUGAUCAUUCAUGAAUUUGAUUAAUAUGUUCCCUCUAAGUCAGUGAUUCUCAACCUGUGGGUCCCCAGGUGUUUUGGUCUACAACUCCCAUAAAUCCCAGCCAGUUUACCAGCUGUUAGGAUUUAUGAGAGUUGAAGGCCAAAACAUCUGAGGACCCCAGGUUGAGAAGCACUGCUCUCGUUCCUGCAGCACAAUUCUAUGGUCAACUUCCAGCAGGAGUAAAGAAUAGAGUAACACUGGAGUACCAAGAGAUUCGUAGACAUGAGUUCUCUAGGAGUAAAAAAAAAAAAAAAAAAAAAAAACAUUUUUAUUCACAAUUUUUCCACUUUCACAAGUGUUCUAUACCUCUUACCCCACAAAACUGGAGGGCCUACUGUAUAUAUAUACUUUGAAUCUUGUUUGCAACAAUGUAAGUAAACUGAGGAAAGGCUGGAAAAGUGAAAGAGAAGAUGGGACAUAUUAAAAUCAGCUGAAAAGUGGCAUGACAAAGACUUUAUCACCUGAUCUCACUAUGGGCAGCAGCCAUUAUAAGGAAACAAACCCAGAAGAUGCAACAUUUCUUUUUACUCCACAGCUACAUUUGGAGCAAAAAAUAUUACUAAUUUCUUAUUAAGGGAGCAAGGGUUAAAUUUUAUUCAGAAAAGUAUUUGGAAGAAUCUUUGAUGCAGAAGGAGCUGGGAUGCGUGAAUAUCUUGCUCCUUUGUUCUGUAGGUGAGAUCCUGAGAACUUGGAAAAAGCUGCCCAAAUGGGAAAACCUUCCUAACAUUAGUCUCCAGAAUGCUGCUCUUUCUCCAAAUGUCACUUAUGUCCGUUGGAAAGUUCAUGGAGAUUGGAUUACUCAGCUGAAUUACUAUGAUUCUUUGAAAGCAGUGAUUUCUUCUUCAAGCCAUGAACCCACAGCACUAGUAAUAGGUAAUUAUAUUACUACUUUGAAAUUCAAGAGAUUAUUCACGUUUGUGUUAUUUGCUGGCUUAUAUAAUUUUUUUCUUCCUGGGUUGUAGCCACAUUUUAGCAGCUCAGUUGAUCAGCUUAACAUCUGUCAGAAAGGGUUUGAACUGGAUAAUCAAGCCCCUUUUUGCUGUUACCUCUUCAGGCAAAGCUUUCUACAUAGGAAUGGAGAUAAUAACAUUUUAUGAGGCCAUCAGAGGUAAAAUAAUGGGAUUCGGUGUCAAAGAAUGAGUAAUACAAGCAAUAUUUUGUUUGCAGGGCUGUUUUGUGCAAAUUGUGUGCACUGCUUUAUUACUGUUUCUAGGGGAAAUUGAGCUUGCAUUUCCAUUGCUAUAUAUCUACAUAAUGAUUUCAAAGGAAAAGAUGGCCACCAAAAUAGAAGGCGAACUCCAUGGCAAUACAGCAUGAUGAAAUUAAAGGUGUCUUUUAUGUUGUAUAAUGCAGUGAUGGUAUGUAAUAAAGAGCACCGAAGACCAGUAUUUUCUGUUGGUCAUGGGAGUUUUGUGUGGAAAGUUUGGCCCAAUUCCAUCGUUGGUGGGUUCAGUCUUCAAAUUUGGGCAUAUUGAGUAUUUGUGUCCAGAUCCAUCAUUGUUUGAGUCCACAGUGCUCUCUGGAUGUAGGUGAACUACAACUCCAAAACUCAAGGUCAAUGCCCACCAAACCCUUCCGGUAAUUCCUGUUGGUCAUGGGAGUUCUGUGAGCCAAGUUUGGUUCAAUUCCAUCAUUGGUGGAGUUCAGAAUGCUCUUUGAUUGUAGGUGAACUAUAAGUCCCAGCAACUACAACUCCCAAAUGACAAAAUCAAUCCUCCUAAUCCCACCAGUAUUCAAAUUUGGGCAUAUCAGUGGGUAUUUGUGCCAAAUUUGGUCCAGUGAAUGUAAAUGCAUCCUGCAUAUCAGAUAUUUAUAUUACGAUUCACAGCAGUAGCAAAAUGACAGUUAUGUAGUAGCAAGG
ensembl:lncRNA